rnacentral:rRNA from 1 species
CCUACGGGAGGCUGCAGUGAGGAAUAUUGGUCAAUGGUCGGGAGACUGAACCAGCCAAGCCGCGUGAGGGAUGAAGGUACAGAGUAUCGUAAACCUCUUUUGUCAGGGAACAACGGCGGGGACGCGUCCCCGGAUGAGUGUACCUGAAGAACAAGCAUCGGCGAAACCCGUGCCAGCGGCCGCGGUAAUACGGGGGAUGCGAGCGUUAUCCGGAUUUAUUGGGUUUAAAGGGUGCGAAAGCGGUCUGUUAAGUCAGCGGUCAAAGCCCGGGGUUCACCCCCGGACCGCCGUUGAAACUGGCAGUCUCGAGUUGGAGAGAGGUAUGCGGAAUGCGCGGUGUAGCGGUGAAAUGCAUAGAUAUCGCGCAGAACUCCGAUUGCGAAGGCAGCAUGCCGGCUCCACACUGACGCUGAGGCACGAAAGCGUGGGUAUCGAACAGGAUUAGAUACCCGUGUAGUC